UACGUAGGGCGCAAGCGUUGUCCGGAAUUAUUGGGCGUAAAGAGCUCGUAGGCGGCCAGUUGCGUCCGCUGUGAAAUCCCAGGGCUCAACCCUGGGCUUGCAGUGGAUACGGGCAGGCUAGAGUUCGGCAGGGGAGACUGGAAUUCCUGGUGUAGCGGUGAAAUGCGCAGAUAUCAGGAGGAACACCGGUGGCGAAGGCGGGUCUCUGGGCCGAUACUGACACUGAGGAGCGAAAGCGUGGGGAGCGAACAGG
rnacentral:rRNA from 1 species